UGACUCUAACUCUUCCUCAAUUGUCGAAUGAAUCUUUCGCCUUUUACUAAAGAUUUCCGUGGGGAUAGAGUAAUGUUGAGUACAUAGUAAUUUUUUUGUUAUGCCUAGCUCAAAAAGCCGGGC